GUAAACGGCGGCCGUAACUAUAACGGUCCUAAGGUAGCGAAAUUCCUUGUCGGGUAAGUUCCGACCUGCACGAAUGGCGUAAUGAUGGCCAGGCUGUCUCCACCCGAGACUCAGUGAAAUUGAACUCGCUGUGAAGAUGCAGUGUACCCGCGGCAAGACGGAAAGACCCCGUGAACCUUUACUAUAGCUUGACACUGAACAUUGAGCCUUGAUGUGUAGGAUAGGUGGGAGGCUUUGAAGUGUGGACGCCAGUCUGCAUGGAGCCGACCUUGAAAUACCACCCUUUAAUGUUUGAUGUUCUAACGUUGACCCGUAAUCCGGGUUGCGGACAGUGUCUGGUGGGUAGUUUGACUGGGGCGGUCUCCUCCUAAAGAGUAACGGAGGAGCACGAAGGUUGGCUAAUCCUGGUCGGACAUCAGGAGGUUAGUGCAAUGGCAUAAGCCAGCUUGACUGCGAGCGUGACGGCGCGAGCAGGUGCGAAAGCAGGUCAUAGUGAUCCGGUGGUUCUGAAUGGAAGGGCCAUCGCUCAACGGAUAAAAGGUACUCCGGGGAUAACAGGCUGAUACCGCCCAAGAGUUCAUAUCGACGGCGGUGUUUGGCACCUCGAUGUCGGCUCAUCACAUCCUGGGGCUGAAGUAGGUCCCAAGGGUAUGGCUGUUCGCCAUUUAAAGUGGUACGCGAGCUGGGUUUAGAACGUCGUGAGACAGUUCGGUCCCUAUCUGCCGUGGGCGCUGGAGAACUGAGGGGGGCUGCUCCUAGUACGAGAGGACCGGAGUGGACGCAUCACUGGUGUUCGGGUUGUCAUGCCAAUGGCACUGCCCGGUAGCUAAAUGCGGAAGAGAUAAGUGCUGAAAGCAUCUAAGCACGAAACUUGCCCCGAGAUGAGUUCUCCCUGACUCCUUGAGAGUCCUGAAGGAACGUUGAAGACGACGACGUUGAUAGGCCGGGUGUGUAAGCGCAGCGAUGCGUUGAGCUAACCGGUACUAAU
rnacentral:rRNA from 1 species